UACAGAGGUGGCAAGCGUUGUUCGGAAUUACUGGGCGUAAAGCGUGCGUAGGCGGUUACAUAAGUCGGGUGUGAAAGCCCCGGGCUCAACCUGGGAAUUGCAUUCGAGACUGCGUAGCUAGGGUGCGGAAGAGGGAAGCGGAAUUUCCGGUGUAGCGGUGAAAUGCGUAGAUAUCGGAAGGAACACCAGUGGCGAAAGCGGCUUCCUGGUCCAGCACCGACGUUCAGGCACGAAAGCGUGGGGAGCAAACAGG
rnacentral:rRNA from 1 species